GGAUUUCUCUCUUUCUGUGUAUUUAAUUCUAAUAGAUGCAGUACGGGGUACAUAACGCAGUGUUCUUUUCAGAGUCUGCAGCUUCACUUAGAAGGCUUUUUGGUUUGUUUGUUUUGGUUUUUUUUUGCUGUACUGUAGAAAGGAUUGUGUGAAGGAUUUAAAUAUAUGUACUUUUCAUAAUGAUUUUGAAAUGUGGUGUCUUUAGAUGGUCAAAAUUGUAGUUUCUGAUCCUUGAGAUCUGCGGACAAAACAAGUGUUGAGGUGGCAUGUUAGCUGGUCUUAAUGAUAAAGAGGGUGUUACUGAAUGCCUGCACCUGACAGAAGCUGAGAUACCCAUUUAUGAAGUUUAUAAAUGUGCUUUAUCUUAACUUUUCCCUCUGUAUUUGCAACAUAGCAUGAGUUUCAAUGUACCGUUCCCACCCUCUGUGUUCCCCAGACCUCCUAGUGGUAUCCUGAGCUGUUUUGCAAAUUUCCCAUUUCUUACAGCAGUUACUAAAUUGUGUUCCUGGAAAUGGCAAUACUGUUGUUGUGUCAAUAAAUAGAGUUUGUCCUUUUCACCUAAUGCGCAGCUGCUCGGAUAUGUAAAAUUAGGCUGGACAGAACACUCCUCAGUAGAUGUUUUUCUGUAUCAUGAGUUCCUCUGUGCAUCUGGCUAAAGCAUGCUUCUGAGUGGCAAUUUUGGUUUGCUUUGUUGGAAAUAUGCAAAUAAUUUUGUAGGACGGUUUCUCUGGUAAAGCAGAUUUUAUUCACAAUUGCAAUGGCGGCCUCCUGCAAGCAGGAGAGCCCCGAGAAAACAGCGUUACAUCUUUUGUCCCUAUUGCCGCCACUGAUCUCCUUCUCCCCUGCUUCCUCAUUGGCUGAGUGCUGCAGGUUCACACUCUUUCGCGAGGCUUCACCAAUCAUACAAACACCAAGUAGAUACAGAUCUUUGCUGCCCAAACACAAAUAUCUUAAUUGAUUAAUUGACUUCUAACAAUUGCUUUCAUAACAAACAUUUGCUCGUAACUUUUCAGAUGUCAGUUAUACAACAUAAACGUAGGCAUAGCCUCCAUUGUUUAAUGACCCCCCUAACAUUUGUGCCCCUUCACACUGGGUCAUUGUUCUGGUCAUUCGUUUGUCCUUGCAUAGAGAUAAGCUCGGAAGGAGGAUAGAGGGGAGCAUCUUGGAGCCUGCCUAUGGCAUCCUAACAUUCCCACAAAGUGGGACAGUUCUGCUUUGUGUAAAGGCCCUGACUCCUUUAAAGUUUGUUAAAUGUAUUUUGCUUCUGCUGGUUUAAUGAACAACCUUACAGUGUUUCCUAGCUCAGAAUACUAUACCCAUAUUGCUUAGAGCAUUCAAAAUCUAUUACAGCUUUGUGAGAAAGUAGUUACCGAAUCACCUAACAAAUAUGUUUCUAAGUAUGUUACUAAUAUAUAUGUGGUGUUCUUACUUACCACAUCAGCUAUUUAGCUAUUUCUAAGGAUAUGUCACAGCUUAAUUCUUUACAUCAGUUGCCCUUUUCAGUGUUCAAUGCAGAAACAGCACUUUCACUUUCCACAGCUUUAACAGAGGCUUAAUGAAUACCGAGUGAAUUCUUAAAAAUCAAUUAAAAAAAAAAACAGCUAUAAUGCAUGCCUGUGAGGGAUACACAUGUAUGGUCGUUGCCAUGAAAAUCCUGUUAUUAACCGUUGCUUUGUGACGUUCUAAGGUUUUCUUGGCGUCGUCUAAAUUAAACGAAAGCAAGAAUUCUAACUGUAGGGGUUAAAGGUAGACGUUCUGCAGAAGAUGAUGAACACAGCAAUAUUCCUAAGGGUUGUGGCUUAGUGAGGUGAUAUUUUGCUCUUUCUGUCAAACACUUGCUCUGUAGAAGUCAACGCCGUUCUUUUUGUUUUUGUGUAUUGCUGGUGAAAUACCACGCUCUGAUUGUAGAAUAUUUAUUUGGCAAAACAUAGUGGGAGAAUAUAUUCCUUAAUCUAACUGUUACAUGUGACCAAUGCCAUUGUUGAGAUCCCUGUCAUGUUCAGCCUAGUGGGUCUUCUUUAUUUUUUCUAUAAAGCCCGGAGGACUGAUCCUGGAUAUAUUAUGUCUUCAGAAAAAGACAAAAAAGAGAACCGCAGGUAUUUCCACGUGUUGUUGCUCGGCACUCCAAGUGCUCAGUGUCUGCAAAAGGCCUCACGUACAAAUCUUCAUAGGUCCCAUAAAACGUCAUCCAAAUGCAUGCAGAAAAUGUUCUGUCUUUCAGAACAUUGCAGCUCUAGCAGAAGCAGGGUGCUUGGACUUCAGAACAUUCUGCACGUCAUGUCUUGUAAGGAAGCCUUUGAGAUCUGUGCACUGCGUUCCUUGUGAUUCAUGUGUAGCCAGAUAUGAUCAGCAUUCUCUGUGGAUUGCACAGUGCACAGACUGCAUUCUUGGGACUGACCUCACAUGAGAGAAUGAACCUCCUGAUGGAGAGCAAAUCUUCUAAGCAUCCUGUUUCACUCAGGAGAAAUCCAUACAAUCUUGGAUGCUUUCAGAAUUGGUAUGGUCAAACCCAGUGGAGUUGGCUGGACCAAGCAAUACAACGUUCACAUGAUAAAGAAGAAAAACGUUUGCUGUGUUUGAAUUCUUACUUGAUUUGAUUUGAGGAAAGUUACAAGACCAAAGGUAUGUGCUUACCACCUCUGGAGGUGUUCCACACCAGUUAUAAUACUCUGGGCUAAUAGAGUUACUAACUUUUAAACUUACUACCUUCUCCCACUAGUAAGAAGGAACAGAUAUAAUUUUAAGUUAGAAUCUAAACUCAUGUGUUGCCAUGUGGUCUGCUUUCUCUCAUCCAUCCCUGGUAAGGAUGAGGAGGAAUGAAAAUCUCAGAGGUUAGGAAGGAAGCAGUCACCAAGGUCUCCCUCUCCUCCUGCCCUCUCUUCAGAUUGUUCUGAAGUAAUCCUCUACAUUUCUCUCUCCAGCACUCCAGGCUUUUCCCCUCUCUUCUCCAGGUUGCAGGGAAUGUGAUAGCCUACCUCAAUCUGAUAAGCAGGAGUGGGAAGCCCAGCAUUGCCCCUGCUGAAGUUUCACAGUCAGUCUAGCUGGUGGGAAGCUAAAAACCCCACGUGUUCUGCCUGUUAUAGGCUUGGUGUUGUAAGUCAGUGAGAGUCGCCUGGGAGGAGAACAGUGAGGAUAUGCGGUCAAGGCUGUAGCGGUUGCGCUCAGUGCUCACCAGCUGGAAGACACAGAACUGCCCUCGCUUGGGUGCAUGCAUGUACAUGCCGAGGUAGAGCCCCAGGGACUGGGAGAAGGCCAGACGCAAGCAGUGGCUUCCUCAAAGGUGGCAGGGCCAUUUUGGGGAAGUGGAGCAUUACUCAGUAGCAGCUGUUUUCUCUUGAGAUUCAUUGAUCCAGACCCCUUGUUUGUGGGACUGCGAAGGCAGGAAUCUUCUGCCUUCUAUUCAAAACUCAGACCUCUAGCCAACUCCCUCAUAGGCUGUCUCUGAGGUCAGUGGAUGAAGCCAAUGCAAAUCAGCCCAUCUAAGUGCAGUGGGCAUUGGGAGGUGCACUGCUGGGGUGCCUAUUUCUGUCCAGUGAAUUAAUACCUCGUUCUUACAAACCCGAGGUUGGGUAAAAUUAAUCAGAUUUUCACUGAAGGAUAAAAUUAAUUUUCUUCUUUUAAUGUCUCUGUAUGGGAACUGCUGAGUCAUGGCCUGAACCUCCAAUCACCUGAGGCGAGCCGUGAGUCAGCCAGAGGAGCACAGCUGAAGGCAAUUCACCUGGCUGCACCUCUCCUAGACCUAUUUAAGAGCUGGCUACCAGUGGGGAAGGAUCUCUUCUGGAGAUCCCUCCUUCUAGUGCUUUCUGUAGUCUUGGAUGCUUCCAGAAUCUUGCAAACUUCUUUCAAUGCAGAUGUUUUGGUAUGGUCAAACCCAGUGGAGUUGGCUGGACCAAGCAAUACAACGUUCACAUGAUAAAGAAGAAAAACGUUUGCUGUGUAUGAAUUCUUACUUGAUUUCUAAAGCUGCUGAGCUGUGUGAGAAAUAAAACUGGAUGUUUUGUUAAUUUUUAUAUUCUUCCAAAAUCUGCUUGUUUUUAUUUUUUUUAUUGUUCUUAAUAUUAAAACUUUCUUGUGUAAGGGACAGCAGGUGCGGAUAUGAAACAAAUGCUGUACAUAAAGAGGCACAGUAAGGGCUGACACUUUUUGAAAUUUGAAAAGAUGACACUAAGUAUACUCCCUCAAAGGGUUGUUUUUAGGGCAGAAUUUGGAAACUUUGUUAGUACCCUUUGUAUUAUUUUGCAAAUAAUAAAAUUGCAUUUGAAAAAUGAAGGGGGAAGUUCAGACUUCAAAUUCAAUGUCAAAAUUGGCCUGUAAGUGGUUAUCUUAGAUUGUGAACACAACCUAAUGACGCUCUGUAUUUGGGUGUUUUACUUGUGACAAAGCAGAAAUUUUAAUGCUUCUAAGAAUAUUUUACAGGUUGAAACAGAUUUGUGAGAUAUAUGAGCAGGGAAGUGUUUAAGAGCAGGUAAGCACAAAGCCAUAAGUAAAAGCCUGUUUGCCUUACGUUUUGCUUGUGCGUAUGCCCUGUUAGCUUCUGGAAAUUGAUAAGGAGAUGAUAGAAAGUAUUAGCAUGUAUGGAAAAGACAACUAUUCUCCCCGGCAUGCACAGAUCUAUAACAGCUGCCACAUCAGUCAUGUUCACAAGAUGCGAAGGCUGCGGCAUCGUUCCAGCGUGGCAGGCUGGGCAUUGUGUUGGGAGUCAAAAUACUUCAUAAUAAAAACUGGCGGGGAAGCAGAUUGAGAUCAGAAAACCAAAGUUCAGUGCUGUCUAGAACUGACAGUGCAGAAUAAAGCAGUGUAAUGAGACAGAGUUCUUGCAGGUAAGGAAUGGGAGGUAUCAUCUUCCCCCUGAAAUGCAGUAGUUGUGGCACCGUGGGACAUAAAGCACAAGCAAAGUGAAGUAAACAAAAAUGUGAAGCAAUAUGAGUGCUUUAUUUAGCUUGAAAAAUGUACAAUAACAAAACUGAAACACUGUAUUCUAAGAAAACUUGCUUUUUCUUCAGAAGGCUCUCCCUUUUAGAGAGAGAAUUUCAAAUUCUUCUGAAGUAUGUGUCCAAGUAAAUGAUGUCUACUCUGUCCUAGUAGAAACAAUGUCGAAAUCUUCAAAACGCUAGGAGGAAACUGGCCUGGAUCAGAAGACCGUAGUGACAAGCUGACCAUUUUGCUUCAUAGGGCAGCCACGUAUUUUCAAGACGUUUCAAGUUCGUAUUCCCGUAUUUUCUUGCAGUCAUUGCAGAUGAGCAGAUAAUAUCCAGCUCCUGUUUAACCUCUGCAACUAGUGAACCAGGCGAGGGAAAUAGCCGUUUGGGAUUUGUCAUCCCUCUUCCUGUUUGUACUAUGCACAGCCAAGUAAAGGGAACACACCUAUCUCCUGGAAGAAGUUGAACAAGACCUGACAAGUGAGAAAUAGUUAUACUCUGUGAUACCACGCAGCCCAUUCUAAGGGAUGAGUCCAUAACAGCAGUGCAUUCUUUGGAAUUAUGUCUGUAUCAUGUGGAUGCAUCUGAGAGUUGUGAAGACAGUUGGCUCAGUGUCUAUCAAGAAAGACAGAAGCACAUAUAUAUUACUUUCCACACUUCUACAUAUUGUAGCAUCUUGUGUUUGUUUCUUAGGCAGGUUGCCUAAGAUGUCUCUCAGUGAAAAAUCAAAAUCCCCUUUGGAGUCAUAAACAUCUCCAGUCUUCCCAAAUACUAACUUUGUGACACAGGGUGCUUGCAUUACUUCCAAUUAAUUUCAGUUUAGUUGCAAGGCGCUCCACAAUUUCAGUGGGAUUACAACUGAUUUGCCCAGGCAAGAGAGCUAUCAAGCCUUCUAAUUCCUAGCAACUCCCAUUAUCCCCUAUCAGAUCUUAACCAAAAAUAAAUAAAUAAAUACAACCCCACAAAUGGUUACAAAGGAAGUGAGUAGAUUUUAUUAAAUGUGAAGUGAUACCUAAAUGUACUCAGAUGGAUGCUAAUGGCGUACUCCAGUAUGGACUGUUGCUUAAUGAAAUCUUGGUGUUAACAGCUCUUUUGGACAAGUAUCAUGUUUUCAGCAUACAGAGCUACUGUAAGCAUUCUUCCAGAAAACAACAAGAAAGAUUGCAUCAUUCUUCAGCCAUGGCUGUCAUUUAAUGACUACACAUUUUUGACAGUUUAUUUUUCUGAUCCUGUUUUUUGCAAAAGUUGCUCAGAUUUCACACCUGUUUAUUCAAUUUCACAAUAACUAUAGGAGAAAAAUAAACGCCGUAAUCUACAGAAAUCUGAAAUUAUUUUUUCAAAGAGUUCUUGAACUAAAUUCAGAAGGAGAUUGUCAAUUUAUUGAAUCUUGCGUGUGCUCUGCAUUGUGCAGGGUGUGUGACUUGCCUCCAGAUGGUGCUCUCACAUUGACAUUUUAGAGUUCUGUUAGCGUUACAGUUUUCAUUAUUCUCUCAAAAUCAGCGUUAGUCCUCUCAGAUUAGCAAGAAAAUAAUUUGGUAGAAUGCAUGCCAAUGUACCAUAUGUUCAUUACAGAUAACUGAUAUUCCCUAGAUUGUAUUAGGAAACUACUUUUAGUUCUAGGAAAAAAAUUUACUGAAACUGUGUAAUAUUUUAAUACAAAGGUGGGAAUUCUGUGAACCUUUAAACUGUGUAAUGAGCAUUAUUUAAGCAAUAUCUUCAUGGUUGAGUAAUAUCAGCUCCAGCGAGGUAAUAA